rnacentral:rRNA from 1 species
GUCGAGCGGACAGAUGGGAGCUUGCUCCCUGAUGUUAGCGGCGGACGGGUGAGUAACACGUGGGUAACCUGCCUGUAAGACUGGGAUAACUCCGGGAAACCGGGGCUAAUACCGGAUGGUUGUUUGAACCGCAUGGUUCAGACAUAAAAGGUGGCUUCGGCUACCACUUACAGAUGGACCCGCGGCGCAUUAGCUAGUUGGUGAGGUAACGGCUCACCAAGGCGACGAUGCGUAGCCGACCUGAUAGGGUGAUCGGCCACACUGGGACUGA